rnacentral:misc_RNA from 1 species
GAUGAAGAACGUAGUGAAAUGCGAUAAGUAAUGUGAAUUGCAGAAUUCAGUGAAUCAUCGAGUCUUUGAACGCACAUUGCGCCCCCUGGUAUUCCGGGGGGCAUGCCUGUCCGAGCGUCAUUGCCGCCCUCAAGCACGGCUUGUGUGUUGGGCCCCCGCCCCCCGGCUUCGGGGGGCGGGCCCGAAAGGCAGCGGCGGCACCGCGUCCGGUCCUCGAGCGUAUGGGGCUUCGUCACCCGCUCUGUAGGCCCGGCCGGCGCCCGCCGGCGACCCCAAUCAAUCUUUCCAGGUUGACCUCGGAUCAGGUAGGGAUACCCGCUGAACUUAAGCAUAUCAAUAAGCGGAAGGA